rnacentral:rRNA from 1 species
CCAAUAGCGUAUAUUAAAGUUGUUGCAGUUAAAAAGCUCGUAGUUGAAUUUCGGGAUCAAUAUAUCGGUCGUGCCUUGGUACGUACUGGUAUCAUUGGUUUCUCCUUUCUGACGAACCAUGAUGUCAUUAAUUUGGUGUUAUGGGAAGUUAGGACUGUUACUUUGAAAAAAUUAGAGUGUUUAAAGCAGGCUUUAGCUUGAAUACAUUAGCAUGGAAUAAUGAAAUAGGACGUUUGAUUCUAUUUUGUUGGUUUCUAGGAUCGACGUAAUGAUUAAUAGGGAUAGUUGGGGGCAUUAGUAUUCAAUUGUCAGAGGUGAAAUUCUUGGAUUUAUUGAAGACUAACUACUGCGAAAGCAUUUGCCAAGGAUGUUUUCAUUAAUCAAGAACGAAAGUUAGGGGAUCGAAGACGAUCAGAUACCGUCGUAGUCUUAACCAUAAACUAUGCCGACUAGGGAUCGGAUGAUGUUAAUUUUUUAAUGACUCAUUCGGCGCCUUACG